GUGCCUCCUUCGGGGACGCCCUUUUUUUCACGACAACUUCGGGGCGGCUCGGCGUUCGUUGCUCUCGGCGGCGUAAAACCCGCUCGGGCUAACAAACGUUCGGCUAAACCAACGCAACAAAAAACCGGCGUGAAAUGCGCCAAGGAACAUGAAAGAGAGUGCGCUCGUCUGGUGUCAGCACUGCUGCGCUAGAACGGGCGUUGUCUUCUUGAUGAGUUUGUAAUGACUCUCGGCAACGGAUAUCUCGGCUCUUACAUCGAUGAAGAACGUAGCAAAAUGCGAUACUUGGUGUGAAUUGCAGAAUCCCGUGAACCAUCGAGUCUUUGAACGCAAGUUGCGCCCGAAUCCUUUUGGUCGAGGGCACGUCUGCCUGGGUGUCACGU
rnacentral:rRNA from 1 species